UCAAUAAUAGCCAUAGAGAUUCAGCUAAUUAUCUACGAGUUGUAUUAUAAGAGUAAACAGGAGCUUCGAGUUGAAGCUUUAAUGACGGAAAGAGCUGUAACUACUUUUGGUUAGUUACAGAGAGAGAGAGAAGUGGUGGAGCAUUUUGCUCUGAUACCAUUUAGAAAGAGAAAAGACUAAAAUUGUAUUAACUAAACUGAAUUACAAUCUGUACUAGCUGUCUAUAUAUACACAAAAGCAGUAACUAACUAGCUAUAUUGUGUACUAAUCUACCCUUAAUUACAAAAGCAUAUUUACAUCUAUAACCAUGAGCUAUAAAUAACACUACAAUACUUUAACACACACCUACCUGGACUCUAACUACACACACAACCAAUCCUCUGUAAUCUUAUUUCAACAUCAAUUUUAACCUCAAGGCCACACCCAAAUCAGUACUCCAACACAUACAAACAAGCGCUCACACCAUCGUUCACCUCUCCUGCAAUAAUCGGUGAUGGCACACACAACCAUCUACACCUUUGUCUCCUCAGCCUACCUCCCUCGAUUUAAUACGGCCCGACGAUAAUUCAUCGCCACUGACCUGCACAGCACCUCCCCUGCUGUUUUCCGUCAAACCCACCAGCCACUGUAUCACUACAAUCAUCAAGCAACCAGCCAGCCUUCAAUCAACGAUCAACUGUAGCCACCUCCGAUCAACAACAUAACUCUGCCUGUUGGGCCUCCAGCCCAAGAAGGCAAAGCCCACAAAGAAGGAAGGUUCCAGAACUAAUAAUAUAUUAUAUAUAGGAGUCUUAGAUCUCAUAAGAAGGGGUUGGAAAUUGAGAGAAAAGAGCCUCCUUGUAAUAUCUCAACAUUUGGCGCUAGAAGGAGGGGCUUUUUCAUCCAACCACAAAAACAUACAUACAGAUCCAACCAUUCCGAAGGAGCUUGGACCUCGGAAUCCAUGACGCUCCGGUGUUCUUAAACGCGACGAAUAUUUUGUGAUCAUGGCAACUGAGAACGAGGAGUGAAUCUGCCGGAAUGAUGAGAUCAGAAUCGCCGUCACCGAUGAACAAAAAGCUUUGAUUCGCGCGUUGAAUUUUCAGUCCGUUGUAGCCUGCAAGUGAACGGCACAAUUGAGCUCUCGAAAUGAAAAGAGAGUUUCAUAUAUACAUAUAUCUGUACGUAUACUUCUGUUGGAAGGAUGAGUCUCGAUCUACCUUUAUUCGAGAUCUCCAAUGAAGAAGCUCGGUUCAUGUACACUCUAUGUUGCUUGUCGAUUUGUUUUUGGAUAUUUUUGACAAUGUUGUUGAGCUGUGCGCCACCACAGUUGCUGAUCUGUGCGCCACCAUGUUUGUUGAUGUGCGUGCCACCACAAUGGAUGAUAUACGCACCACCACGGUGGAUGAUAUAUGCGCCUCCAAGCUAAGAGAUCUGACGCCGUCAAGUUUGAUAGAGACUCCAUAAGAAAAACUAGAUCUGAAAGAGGGACAUACAUGAAGUGAAGGCUGCUUGAAGUGAAACCACGGUAGAAGCAGUACUUCAAUACUCUCAGGCUGCACAAGAAAUAUUAAAUUGAUGAUAUGAUGAAUAAGAUAAGGAGCUGCAAUUGAGUUUUUAGCAGAGAGAUGAUGUUCUCAUAUCUGAUCGAAAAAGGAGGCGCUGAACUAUUGAACCAAUGAAGUAUUGAAUUCAUCCGAAAUAAGUACCAGACUCAAAGAAGCAGUUCACCAACAUCCUCAAAUUUUGCUCAUGAAGCGUCCUUAAAAGUCAGAGCCUAAAAUGUUGUUAAAUCCAGCUUGAGAAGCGUCCCGUCUGUGAAGCGUCUCUCUGUGAAGCGUCCCCGCUUGUGAAGCAUCCUUAAAUCCAGCUCCUAGAAUUUUCUUAAAACUCACAAUAAAAUAUCAUGUAUCUAACUCGAAGAAGUAAGCGCUGAGCUGUGGAAUCAGUGAAGCGUUGAAGUCCUUUGAAAAAAAAAGUACCAAAUACAACCUUCAAGAAGUUCAACAAUCUGACUCCACACUCCAUCGACUCCUGAAGCAUACAGAAACUGAAUUCCAUCUGGAUCCAAAGGAAACAAACAUAUAUCCCGAUGGGACUACAAAAAUCACGAAUUCAUAAUUCGGCUCUUUGCUCCACCAACGCUUUGAGCGUCCAAUUUUUGAAACAUUAUUAAUUGCUCUUCGAGCGUCCAACUUUUGAAGCAUUAUUAAUUGCUCUUUGAGCGUCCAAUUUUUGAAACAUUAUCAAUUGCUCUUUGAGUGUCCAAAUUUUUAAAGCGCUCCUCUGUGAGACGCCAUGCCUGUGAGGCGUCUCGAUUGUGAGGCGUCCCGCUUGUAAGGCAUCCUGCUUGCGAAGCGUCCUUAAAUACAACUCUCGAAGCAUUACUAAUUGCUCUUUGAGCGUCCAAUUUUUGAAGCAUCAUUAAUGGCUCUUUAAGCGUCCAAUUACAAUUCUUCAACACAAAUUACAAUUCUUCAAUACAAAUUACAAAUUACGAUUCUUCAAUACAACUUACAAUUCUUCAAUACAAAUUACAAAUUACAAUUCUUCAAUACAAAUUACAAAUUACGAUUCUUCAAUACAACUUACAAUUCUUCAAUACAAAUUACAAAUUACGAUUCUUCAAUACAACUUACAAUUCUUCAAUACAAAUUACAAAUUACUAUUCUUCAAUACAACUUACAAUUCUUCAAUACAAAUUACAAAUUACGAUUCUUCAAUACAACUUACAAUUCUUCAAUACAAAUUACAAAUUACGAUUCUUCAAUACAACUUACAAUUCUUCAAUACAAAUUACAAAUUCUUAAAUGUCACGUUUUUGACGUAUCCUUCAAUACAAAUUACAACUCUUGGAGCGUCCAACUCUUGGACUCUAAGAGCUCUCUUAGAUGAUGAUAUUACAGUGGAUAAACACUUCACCAAGUCACACUGUGGAGACCUCAAUAGAAAUCAAGAAAAAAUAAAUUCCAGAAAGAGUUAUCUUCGCCGCCUCUUCAGUUCGAGGCUUCAUCACAUCUUUAGACUCUUUGUGAAGAUGACAUGAGUACUCUUCUCCAUCAUGGCGAUGACAUUUUUUAUCUUUGUCAGUAACAGCUGGAACAUUACUCCUUUUAUAUUGGAAAGCACAUCUAAAGAUCUGUAUACUUCCGGGAGGCCUCAAGGUCCCCACCAAUAAUCCUUUAUUAGAAGAUGUUGGAAGCCCUAAACCUGAAUGAAGCUUGAAGAUGUUUCUACAUUUGUCUCGGGAAGUCGACGCUAAAAUGGUUCAAUGAUCAGCAUCUUUGCUUCAGCGGCUCUAGUUCAUUAUUUCAACAGCUUCCUUGACCUUCAAGGUCGAAUCGCCUCUUCGCUUCAGCGCUUCUGCCUCUUUACUUCAUCGGCUCCUCAAACGUCCGAAGCUCUAGUCGUCCAUGACUUCCAAGGUUAUGAAGCUCCUUGCCUCAUAGGAGGAUUCUUAUUAGUUGCGACUUUCAAAGCUCCAAUCUACUUCUAACUCUCAAGUUCUCGAAAGCUUGCAACGUGUCACCGGGUGGCUAUGACUUCCUAGUUGUUCAGAUAUCCCGUGAAAUUUAUCGAAACAAUUAUUAAGCAGAGUUUUAGGAAAAUGGUUCAACAGCUCCACACUGGUCUUAGGUAUCACACCCCAAGGCUUCAUCUGUCCAAAGACAUCACCUCCAAAGAUAAGCCCGACAAUCCACAUCUAAAGAUCUGGUACUAUGUUGGAGGGGGACUAAUGUUGGGCCUCCAGCCCAAGAAGGCAAAGCCCACAAAGAAGGAAGGUUCUAGAACUAAUAAUAUAUUAUAUAUAGGAGUCUUAGAUCUCAUAAGAAGGGGUUGGAAAUUGAGAGAAAAGAGCCUCCUUGUAAUAUCUCAACAUUUCCACUUUUUAUCAAGCCACCAGACCUCCACCCAAGUCAGCCGGAUUUCAGACCGCCGCAACCUUCCUCGCAGCGCCUCUGUAACCAUACCCGGCGACAGACGUCGCCUCCGUUCCUCCGACCAACUGUAGCCACCUCCGAUCAACACCCACGUCACAGCCCCAUCUCCGAUUUACACCGCCAAACUCCCCAUCUCUGAUCAAACACACCCCCAGAUCCCCUCCCUUAUUCCUCUAACUAUCAAUCAAACGCCCCAACAAAAACCCAAUCCGCCAACAAACAACGAUAUACAGAUAAGUAUGUAGUCACACAAAGCUAAUAAGCCUCACCUGCCAAUGAAUUGAUCUGAUUGAAUAGACUCCCCGAAACCCUAAUUUGCUCUGUCUUUCUUUCGCUUGAACAAGCCCGCGUCUGUUUUAUAUCUAUCUAUCUGUUUCUCAUCGAUCUGGCUGUACACAUACUGCAUACGCAGCUGCUAGGCUUAAUUUAUAAUUAUUAAAACAAAAACUACACCCCUAAUUUAAAAACAAAAACUAUUUUAAUAGUUUAAGAGUCCA
rnacentral:lncRNA from 1 species